rnacentral:rRNA from 1 species
GACGAACGCUGGCGGCGUGCUUAACACAUGCAAGUCGAACGGAAAGGCCCUGCUUUUGUGGGGUGCUCGAGUGGCGAACGGGUGAGUAACACGUGAGUAACCUGCCCUUGACUUUGGGAGAACUUCAGGAAACUGGGGCUAAUACCGGAUAGGAUCUCUUGCUGCAUGGUGGGGGUUGGAAAGUUUCGGCGGUUGGGGAUGGUCUCGCGGCUUAUCAGCUUGUUGGUGGGGUAGGGGCUGACCAAGGCUUUGACGGGUAGCCCGCGUGAGAGGGUGACCGGGCACCAUGGGACUGCGAUACGGAGCAGACUGCUACGGGCGGCAGCAGUCGAGAGUAUUGCACAAUGAGGCGAAGCCUGUGGCAGCGACGCCGCGUGCGGGAUGCCGGCCUUCGGGUUGUAAACCGCUUUCGCCUGUGCCGAAGCGUGAGUGACGGUAAUGGGUAAAGAAGCACCGGCUAACUACGUG